UAUAUGUUGGUACAAUAUACCAUUUCUGUAUUUAAUUACAGGGUAGAUAGAUGAAAAAACCAACGCGUUUAAAGUUUCGCAAGCAAUUGGAGCACAGCGCAAAAGUUUUUACUGCGCGGUCUGUCAGUGGGUUAAGUGCAGAAUUGCACCAACACAUACACGUGGACUGACUCACAGACACACACACACACAUACACAUAGCUACGGAGCAAAUUCGAUGCAUUGGAAUCAUCAUUAAUCAGGCACCGGAAAGGAAAUGCGAGAGCGAAAGAGUUCUAAAAUUCCGCCCUCUUUGGCAUUCAUCAGCCCUCACUUCAUUGGAGUCCGAAUAUUGAUGAAUAUAUAUUCUGCGGUUUACACAAGUUGAAUUGCAAAUUCUGCCAAAGAUUUCAAUAAAAUUGCAUUGGAAACUGCCACGUCGCGCCGUCACUCCGGUGUGACCUUGCCAGGCGGCCGUCGGCUGUCCUUGCAGCGUGCCGUGUGUGUCCUUGUGCCCGACAACGAGUUAUCGCCCGCUCCGCUCCUGCGCACUCACACACUCAAGCAAAUCCUUCGCAUGUGCACGUGUGUGUGUGAGGAGCAAUUUAUUUUGCGCUCUGCUGCUUGACGACGAGGACUACGUUCUCUCCUCCUGAUAGGGUAUCGUGGCUUUGAGCAGAUGUUUGCCGGGGACAAAGCUCCAGGUUUCCAGAGACUGAAGUAUUUGCGAUUCAUAUCUAUUUGUGCUUGCUAUUAGCUCGGAUGGAUAACAUCAAACCUCGAUCACUAUAUAUUUUAGAAAUGUGUGGAAGCUGCACUGGAUCUGAAAGAGUAUCCAAGGGACUGGUGUCCAAAAUGAGCUUUUUGGUGUUACAAAUUGAGAGAGCUUAAAGUUCUUACUUUCGAUUUGCGUUUGAUUAACGCUUAUGCUUCCCACUUGGAGUUACCGCACCGAAGCCGCCCCACCAGCCCCCACGGCUAGAUAAAUAUGCAUGCGGCCAGGGCCUGGACCCACGAGUAUCUGUCCCCGGCAGCAAUCGAGCCAAAGGACAAACGGAAGCAGGUCAACGGGAUAACAACGAUAGGGAGUCGAGUCGAGUCCCCUUAGAAGCGGCACCACCAACGGCACCGGGAUCGGUACCGGUAAAGGAAACGGCAAUGGUUAACGCGCAGUUGCUGCAGUUGCUGCAUGCAUAAAACAUAAGGAUAACGAACGGGACACCCAUACACCCAUACACACCUACCCACCUACCCACAUCCACACAGAUACAGUUCCAGAUAGAGACACUGGCAGGUUGCAGGACCCUGCCAGAGGCGUUUUAUAAUUAAAAUUGCAUUCAAAUGCAAAUGCAAAUCUGAAUCCGAAUGCGAAUGCGAAUGCGAAUGGGAAUGCGAAGGUAAGCUACAAAAGCAUAAGGAACACGCUCACAGAUUAGACAGCUUCCUCGA
rnacentral:sRNA from 1 species